rnacentral:rRNA from 1 species
GACGAACGCUGGCGGCGUGCUUAACACAUGCCAGUCGAACGGAAAGGCCCUGCUUUUGUGGGGUGCUCGAGUGGCGAACGGGUGAGUAACACGUGAGUAACCUGCCCUUGACUUUGGGAUAACUUCAGGAAACUGGGGCUAAUACCGGAUAGGAGCUCCUGCUGCAUGGUGGGGGUUGGAAAGUUUCGGCGGUUGGGGAUGGACUCGCGGCUUAUCAGCUUGUUGGUGGGGUAGUGGCUUACCAAGGCUUUGACGGGUAGCCGGCCUGAGAGGGUGACCGGCCACAUUGGGACGGAGAUACGGCCCAGACUCCUACGGGAGGCAGCAGUAGGGAAUAUUGCACAAUGGGCGGAAGCCUGAUGCAGCAACGCCGCGUGCGGGAUGACGGCCUUCGGGUUGUAAACCGCUUUCGCCUGUGACGAAGCGUGAGUGACGGUAAUGGGUAAAGAAGCACCGGCUAACUACGUG